GCGGCUGUCCCUUCUGCUGCGCGUCUGGAUGCAGUGCGCAGCUCUGACGCGCAGGAAGGAACAGACAGAGCGGAAGAAGUCCCACUCAGCGCCGAGAAGUUCACCGAAGCGUUGCUACCAGCAGACCGCCGUUUAUUUGUACUAAUACUGAUCCGUUUAGAUCCCAUCAAUCUUCACCAUGUGGCCAUAAGAUUUGUCAUGUUGAUGAUCAGAGAUGCAACCAUUUAUCUGCUUCCAGAUUGAGGUGAUGGAUUGCAGCUUUUUUUUUAUUUUUAAAGAACAUCCCUAAAUGCUGAUUUGUCAUGUUGGUGAUCAGAGACGCAACCAUUUAUCUGCUUCCAGAUUGAGGUGAUGGGUUGCAGCUUUUUGUAAAUCCUGGUGUCUGGAACGAUUGAGCGAGUGCACAUUUGUGAAAGAAUGGGUCGCUGUCGGGAGCUCGGUGAAUUCCAGCGUGGAACUGUGAUAGGAUGCCACCGGUGCAACAAAUCCAGUCGUGAAAUUUCCUCGCUCCUAAAUAUUACGCAGUCAACUGCCAGCCGUGUUGUAAGAAAAUGGAAGCGUUUGGGAAUGACGGCAACUCUGAAUGCUUCAGCGUACCAAGACAUUUUGGACAUUUCCACGCUUCCGACUUUGUUGGGAGCUGGCCCCUUCCUCUUCUACCAUGACUGUUCAUCAGUCCAUCAGUGGUUGGCAGAGGGUGGUGUGGAUGAACUUGACUGCCCUGCACAGAGUCCUGACCUCAACCCGAUAGAACACCUUUGGGAUGAAUUAGAGCAGAGACCGAGCACCAGACCUUCUCGUCCAAAUGUGCUUCUGGAGUAACGGUCAAAAAUUCCCAUAAACGCACUCAUAGAGCUUCACCUCCCAAAAGAGGUGAAGCUGUUUUAGCUGCAAUGGGAGGACAGUCAUUGAAUCCUAUGGAUUAGGAAUGGGAUGUCACUUAAACUCAUAUGUGAGUCGAGACAGGUGAGCCAAUAGUUUUGGCAAUAUAGUGUAUUACAACUCUGUAAGUUUAAGUUAAGGCUGCUGUUAAAUUGAUACUCAAGUUAUUUCUUAUUUUAUAGCUUGUGUGAAAAUGCAUGCUUCUAUUUGCUUUUCACUUUGCUGCUGCAGGACAAUAAAGUACAUUUCUAUUUCUAAAAUGCUUUU